CCCACCGUCUGCUUGUCGAAGGUAUAGAGAAGAUUUAUUUGGGGGUGUCCUCAGGCAUCCAGGUUUUCAGAUGCCACCCCGUGCCACUGCCACAAUGUUUAAUGACUAUUUUUGGAGUGCAAAUCUCAACUAUGUGACUUUCCGCUCACUGCACUAAUGCACCGUGACUGCUGGGCUUUCUAAGAGAGGUUUGAGGGAGGAAGACGGGGAGGGGGGGUGUACCUUUAGUUAACUGCAAGACACGUAUACCAGACUGCCGCUUUACCACCAUCCACCCCACUACAUUUCUUGCUGUUUUUUCCCCUCUGUCUUUGUGUCUGAGUCUUGACUAUCAACAUUAAUGAGACGUUCUUCAGCUGGCCGGAUUCACAAAGGAAAGGAGAAUUACGCUAAUGCUGUCUGUUUGAAGAUGCUCCUAAGACGGGAUCCCCAGUGAAAGGAAGCCUCACUGCUUUAGUAGAGAGGGGAGUCACAAAAGAUGCAGGGACCUUGGAGUAUUUUCUUGAUCCAGUCUGAAUCUGAAAAGGCGAG